rnacentral:lncRNA from 1 species
UGCAUAUUGAACGCACAAAAAGUCCGGAGUUAAAAUAAGUUUAAAAAAUGAAAUGCCUUAGUAACACAUGAGUUUUCGUUUGAAACUAUGAUACGUCGAAGGAGAUUGUUCAGUUUAUACACGAAGUGCAUCCAAUUUUUGUCGUAACCCUUUCAACUUUUUAGCACAUGCUAUGUGGGUGAAAUGCUGAUACCUUGGCAAGUUUUAGCCAUUUGAAAGUUCAUUUGCAGUGCUUUUCACUUUCAGGGUCAUUUAGUUUUAAAAAAUCCUUCAAUGCUUGAAAAAUAUUGUGUUUGCACAUAAUUGCAUUGAUCAACUCCUACAUAAUGUUUCUUCGUGUUUAAAAAUGUCAAAUAUAUAUAUAUAUACACUAAAUCUUACACAAAGAUUCCCUCAGGUUUGUCCGAUGUGGGACUUUCCAGAUAAGUCCAGAAAUUUACUAUAGAAGAAAGUGAUGACGGUGAAGCCGGUCACAUCCGAGAGUGGGAUCUUGGGGUAUAAAAGUUUUCUUCGCAUGCGUCCCU